rnacentral:misc_RNA from 1 species
UAUAAAGUCAAAAUUUUAUUGAUAUUUUGUUGGGUUACUAUGUCUGGUAUGCGGUAAAAAGCAUCAUGCAGAAAAAAAAGAGGAAGAACUCUGGUGCUUCAGACCAGAGUAAACAUAAGCAGAGGGGUGUGGAUCAGACAGAAGAUGACGUAUACAGUGACAAGUCUGUCUUUUCUGAGAUGCUCAACAAGGCAGGAUUUAUUCUCACUAAUGGAAAGAAAAACAAUGAAAUAGGCGUUGACCAGGCUGUGUUUCAGAGGAGUUUAAACCUGGCUUUGAAAAGACACAACAGUUCUCCUGAUAUUCUACAAAAGUUUGAUGCCAACUCUUACAUCGGUGGAAUGUGAAAGUGCUCGGUCGUCCACUCAGAACAGUCUGGUUAGAAUUCUGCUUGGUAUGGAUAUCAUACAGCCCAAGCUUGUGACUCUUGUUGUUGGAAAAACUGCCUGAGUUUGAAGGAGAUGAGGAUGAUAUUUUUGAAGAAGGAGAAAAGGUUUUUCUUCCACGUCUUCUACUAAGUCAGUUCCGAUGGCUGGAUCGUAUCAUCUGCAGCAAGGAUCUCACUGUGAAACUGCUAGAGAUUAUUGAAGUGACAUCGUUUGACGUUCAGAGAGAAAUCAUCUCUUGUUUACCAGAGAUUGUAGAAGAUUCUGAACACAGUGAUGUAGCUAAGACACUGAGGGAUUUAUUUGUUGGUUUCUCUUCAUCAUGUGUUUAUAAUAUACAAAUUGUACGAUGUGACUGACAUCAUUUGACGUUCAGAGAGAAAUGAUCUGUUGCUUACCAGAGAUGCUAGAA